rnacentral:rRNA from 1 species
AAAUCUCCGNGCUCAACVVVCGAACUGCCAUUGAUACUAUUGGUCUUGAAUUCUGUUGAGGUAGGCGGAAUAUGUCAUGUAGCGGCGAAAUGCAUAGAUAUGACAUAGAACACCGAUUGCGAAGGCAGCUUACUAAGCAGAUAUUGACGCUGAGGCACGAAAGCGUGGGGAUCAAACAGGAUUAGAUACCCUGGUAGUCCACGCCCUAAACGAUGAUUACUCGACAUACGCGAUACACAGUGUGUGUCUGAGCGAAACGAUUAAGUAAUCCACCUGGGAAGUACGUCCGCAAAGUGAAACUCAAAGGAAUUGACGGGGGUCCGCACAAGCUGGAGCAUGU